UUUUACUGAUGAAGAGAUAAAGAAAUGGUUUAUAUACACAAUGGAAUAUUAUUCAGCCAUAAAAAGAAUGAAAUUUUGCUAUUUGCAAAGACAUGGCUGGAGCUAGGGAGUAUGAUGCUACGUGAAAUAAGUCAGAGAAAGGUAAGUACAAU